CAGGGAGACAAACAACGAUUUUGAUGCCUGAGUACUUUUAUUCUUAGGCCGAAAUCCUGUCACCUUAGGUCGAUCGGUACCUCAACUUCAAUCCUGUGAGUCGUAGGACUGCACAACGAUUGAUUUUUAGUUCCUAAACGUUGUCUAGGUCACCCCAUAGAGGGUUCACUUCCUGGGCCAUUAGCUCAGGUGGUUAGAGCGCACCCCUGAUAAGGGUGAGGUCCCUGGUUCAAGUCCAGGAUGGCCCAUGCCAAAAUCCAGUUUUGGAUCAUUUGGGGGUUUAGCUCAGUUGGUAGAGCGCCUGCUUUGCAAGCAGGAUGUCAGCGGUUCGAGUCCGCUAACCUCCACUAACACAUCUGAACUCCUAAGCCAGGAAGAGCUUCUUGGUUGGUGACUAGACGUUGUUCGCAGAGAAUCCACUGGUUGACCCAGAUGUAUUCAGCCUCAGCUCAUCUCCGAUGACGGAUUGAGCUGAUGCUGAAUUCACUCUCGAAAGAGAGAGGAUUUAGCAGAACCUUGACAACUGCAUAGGUGAGUCUGGAAAGACAAAAGCAUCUCAUAGAGGCUAGUUCGAAAGAGCUAGUGAUUCUAUUUUUGAGAGCCGAGACCUUCUAGCGUUCUUCCUAAUCCGCCGAGGAGCGGGGAGUUUGAUCCUUUUUUCUAACUGAUCGAGGAGCAGAGCAAUCUGUAACUUGAUGAAGAGAAAACUGAGAGAAUGGGCCUCAACAGCCUGAAGCGUUAGGAGAUUAAUU
rnacentral:tRNA from 1 species